rnacentral:rRNA from 1 species
UACGAAGGGGGCUAGCGUUGCUCGGAAUCACUGGGCGUAAAGCGCACGUAGGCGGAUUGUUAAGUCAGGGGUGAAAUCCUGGAGCUCAACUCCAGAACUGCCUUUGAUACUGGCGAUCUUGAGUCCGGGAGAGGUGAGUGGAACUGCGAGUGUAGAGGUGAAAUUCGUAGAUAUUCGCAAGAACACCAGUGGCGAAGGCGGCUCACUGGCCCGGUACUGACGCUGAGGUGCGAAAGCGUGGGGAGCAAACAGGGAU